rnacentral:lncRNA from 1 species
UUCUAGUGUGGCUCAGAAGUCAGAGGAGGAAGUAGGGGAGGGCAGAACCUCGUAAUUCAUGUGUCAUGGCAGGUGCAAGAACUACCGUGGAAAUUAUUGUUGGCUACAGUCACAGUAAACCAAAGCUGAAGCAGUGAAGAGUCUGACUCAUAUGUAUGGGUGCACUGAACGACCUUUUUUUGAUCACAUGCUGUUUGCCUCUAGCACACUUCUUCUGCUCGCUCCUGCGAAACCCUUUACCAGGUCUGUGUUCUGAACAGUAGAAUAUUAUUGCUGGUUAAGUUUCCUUGCACAGUUAAGGCACAUACCUCACCCAAGUCUUAUUUCCCAUUGCUGUGAGGAAAACCCAUUCACCCUGUCCUCACCGACUGUAAUAUAAUGGUGGGUAGAAUAUUGUGUCCCCCAGUGGUGCUGCUCUGACAGGAAGUCAAAGAGCGUGGGGAAAAGGGGAAAUUACGGUAUCUCUUUACAGGUGUAGUAUGUACAGUUCGCAGGAACAAAUUAAUGCCCCUUUGUGAAUUCAGUAAUAAAUGACAUGCAUGAUUAUGUAUAGGUCAGGUAUGUUUGGCAAAAAGCAGACUACAGUAUCCAUUCAUCUAUUCAUUAUUUUUUUUAAAAAAGUAGCCUCCAUGAUAAUGUCCUUGCAAGCUUUCAAUAGCUCCCUGGCAGCAUCAUGUCAUUCCACAAGUGCCACCAUUGUUGCAAUGCUGAUGGAAGAAGCCAGCAGAUAACAAGUUUAUUUUCUAUUUAGAAGCUUGUGUAAAUCACUUUAAUAACUUUAAAAAAAUUCAAAAUGGUUGUCAUCUAUAAAAUUAUUAGGUGUACUUAUAUACAAUGUAAAUAAAUAAAUAAAAAUGUUUUCCCAGUAGCAUCUUAGAGACCAACUAAGUUUGUUCUGGGUAUAAGCUUUCGUGUGCAUGCACACUUCUUCAAAUACACACUUAUAUGCAAUGCUUUGCAGUUAAGUUUGAAAACCACUCCAAAUCUGCAACUCCAGAAUCACUUGUUCCAUGUUUAACUUACAUUAAGUAGGAAUACUAUGGACUCAGGCCUGCAAUUGUUCAUGCUGUUGUAUGCACCGAUGCUCCCACAGUGAUCUAUACAAGGUAAAUGGGAAUACAUUAGCUUGCUAUGCUGAACAAAUUGAAACAAUUGAGAACAAUGUCCAGGGCUGUGCAGAUGUCUCUAUCAUAAACCUCAACAGCCCUGAAGUGUAUCAGCUUUUAGAGUGCUUAUCAUGAGGGGUGUGAUGUUUCAGUUUUUAAAGUCCCUUUCUGGAUACUUUGCUGAACAAAGGAGACCAGACUAGAAGGGAAUUUGUGUACACUCAUAGUAUUGCAAUCUAUUGAAUUUUUAUUUUUUUAAAAACACUUUAGACCAAUAAAAGUCAAAACUAACCACUCAUAUAAGUGAGUAUUCCAGGCUUUGCGGAACAGGACCUAAGCCGAGGGCAUUUACUUCUGCUUUUCAGCUUUCUCUGUUCUUCCAUCUCCUCUGAAGAAGGUCAGCUGAACAACCAGCAGCUGAACCAUGCAAAGCCAACGUGGGCGCAAUCUGGUUCGGAAAAUACAGCCAGAGGCAACCUAGAUACAUACAAACAAGUACACAUUUCUUUGUAUGACUCAACAGUAAACAUUGAAAUGGCCUAAACCCUGUACAUUUCAGAUCUAGAAUAGAAUGGAACCACCAAAGGCAAGUAUAGAUUUUCCUGAUCCUGUGUUAGUUGAGCAGCUGGGUUACAUAGCAGAAUGUGCAAAGGAACAUGUGGCUGGACAGCUCCAGGUAACCUACAAAUCCUAUGCUGAAGCAGAGCAUCACUCACAACAAUAUACUGUAUCUGUUUGCAGUCAAAUUACAAUGGGAUCAGGUGGAGGAGACUAUGUGACUCACUAGCCUGUUUCCAGGCUUUAUUUUAUAAUUGACUGGCUCAGUCUUUUGGUCACAUUUAGAUUCUGAUCAAUCAGACAUGGCUCCUUGAAAUGUAUCCCAUGCAGAUGUUUCAGGUAGACAGAAGGUACUUGAUAGAAAUGUUCCGUGCUUUUUUCCUGGGUGCACAGUACCGGCACCUUUUUUUCCUAGAAGAAAAGCACUGGCAUAUGUUGAAGACAGUUCUCAGUUGGUUUUUCAUGCUGCAUAUAAAACCACUUUAAUGCACUAUGAACAGUGAGAGAAAGAAGCUUAUGGCCCCAUAUGCACAGUCUUAAUUGGUUCCAUACCCAUACAAUUGCUUCUAAUAUGAAAAAUGUUGUUUAACAAGACUUUUGCCUAUAUCUGUGAAAACCAAAGCAACUGCUUAUGGAUAUCUAGUUGCAUACCUCACAAUGGCCAGUAUAAACUCUUUCUGCUUCCUAGUGAGUUUGGGGAAGAACAUCUGUAUAAAUAUAUCUAGAUAUAUGCCUCUAUUCAAUAGAUUGGUGUCCUAUAAAUGUCAACGAGUUUAGAGGAGCAUUCAUUGUUUUGUUAUUAUUCCCUUUAACAGAUGAUCCUUCCUCCAAAGUAUAUGACACUUCUGAGUGGGUUAUUUUGGUUUGAUAAUAAGUAAUCUUUCCUCCCAGAAAUGACUGUUUGGUUCCUUCAGCAUGGAUUUCUGAAAAAUAAGUCAUGUCAGACUAACCUGAUCUCGUUUUUUGACAGAAUUACAAGCCUGGUAGAUGAAGGGAACACAGUGGAUGUAGCCUACUGUACCUUGAUUUCAGCAAGGCAUUUGACAAGGUGCCC